rnacentral:rRNA from 1 species
AGUGAACGCUGGCGGUAGGCCUAACACAUGCAAGUCGAACGGCAGCACAGUAAGAGCUUGCUCUUACGGGUGGCGAGUGGCGGACGGGUUAGGAAUACAUCUGAAUCUACUUUUUCGUGGGGGAUAACUUAGGGAAACUUACGCUAAUACCGCAUACGACCUACGGGUGAAAGCAGGGGAUCUUCGGACCUUGCGCGAUUGAAUGAGCCGAUGUCGGAUUAGCUAGUUGGCGGGGUAAAGGCCCACCAAGGCGACGAUCCGUAGCUGGUCUGAGAGGAUGAUCAGCCAAACUGGAACUAAGACACAGUAAAGACUCCUAAGGGAAGCAGCAGUGGGGAAUAUUGGACAAAGGGAGCGAGCCAGAAGCAGCCAGACCGCGUGGGUGAAGAAGGUAUUCGGGUUGUAAAGCCCUUUUGUUGGAAAAGAAAAGCAGCAGGUGAAGACGCCACUGUUCUGACGGUACCCAAAGAAUAAGCACAGGCUAACUUCGUG